AUGAGUUGGAACUAUCAUGGGAUUAGCCGUGACGCGACAUUUUGAGAGCUCCGCACUUCAGUGCAAUGGUUUGCCCCCUCAAUGUUGUGUCUACAAGAAACUCAAGUAGGAGAGUUAAGAGCUAGGAACAUAGAAUUUUCAUUUGGUUCUUGUAGAUUUGUAUUGCUAGUACCAAUGGAAGAAAUGGGGCUUAGCUAUGUGCUGGAAUUAUUCACUUUUCACAAUAUCAUAUUGACACGGUAG
rnacentral:rRNA from 1 species